AUGUCAGUUUCCUAAAGCGUUAAGAUAAUACCGUAGGGACGAUGUUUGUUUACACCCUAAAAUCAUACGUACACCCUAACAGAAUUGCCUUGUUGAUUCGCUGUGACUUUACAACAUCAGUGAGGUAUGUAUCCCAAAUAUGUGGGCACGGAGUAGCGUGGCUUCCACUUCUAUAGUAAUUAGAGUCUCUUACCUACAUGCUUAUUACAUACUUGCUACAUACUUAUUCUGGAAAAUUUCAUCUUGGUCUGCCUCUGACUCGCAAGCAAGGCAGUGGCAGACAUUCCCCGGGCUGCUAAUGACUGAGAUAUCACUGUGGCAAUUUUGACGACACAGGCAAGUGCCCCCUUGGGCAAAGCUGUAAUGUGUAUGUGGUUCACCUUCGAUGUUGUGGGUCAUGCAUCUGGUAGACUAAUGGAAUAGGAUCUGGGAAGCUCAGAUUGUUGGAGAAAGAAAUCCAGGAAUAAGAAGGUCAAAAGGGUUCUAAGAACGCAUUUCCACUGCUGACAUGAUCUUUAUUCCGUGAAGAACAGCCACGUUCUUGUUCCAAUUUUACCUUUUUAAAAGCGGCUACCUUCCUUCCUUCCACAGUUGUCUUCAAAUCUUGUGUUAGAAAUGAAGAAAUCUGGAACACAUCAUGCUGAGUGAAAUAAGCCAAUCCCAAAGGGACAAAUACCAUUUGUUCUCCUUGAUAGGUGACAACUAUCUGAGCACCAAAAAGGAAACCUGUUGAAGUGAAAUGGACACUAUGAGAAAUGGUGACUUGAUCAGCCAUUGCCCUGUUGAUGAACAACUUAAUACAUUAUCCCUCUUAGUAUUUUUUUUCUCUGUUCUACUUAAUACUACUGGUUUAAUUCUGUAAUCAAUACACAGUUAUUUUUAAGUGCUGAAACUUAACUGAAAAGUGAUCCCUGUUAAAUAUAAGAGUGGGAAUAAGAGAGGGAAGGGAUGUACAGUUUGGGACAUGCUCAAGCUGACUUGCCCCAAACGGUAGAGUUAGAAACAUACCAGAGGAUUCCAAUUCAAUCCCAUCAAGGUGACAUGUACCAACGCCAUCUCGCUAGUCCAAGUGAUCAAUUUCUGUUCACAAUUGAUCAUAAUGACAGGACUAAGAGUCAAAGGGAUCACAUAAACAAGACUAGUGUCUGCUAAUACUAACCGAUAGAAUAAAAAAGGGGGAGAACGAUCCAACAUGGGAAGCAAGAUACACAGCAGACUCAGAAUGGCGGAUGUCCUAAACAGCACUCUGGCCUCAGAAUCAGCCCUAAAGGCAUUCAGAUCUGGCUGAAAAGCCCAUGAGAGUAUUUCAGGCAUGGGAAGCCAAGACACUCUGGCAAAAAAAAAUGACCUAAAUGAAAGAUCUCCAUGAGUGAGAUCCCAGUGGAAAGAACAGGUCUUCAAAGAAGGAGGUACCUUUCUCUGAAGGGAGGAGAGAACUUCCACUUUGACUACGACCUUGUCCAAAUAAGAUAAGAGUCGGAGAAUUCAAAAGGCUUCCAUAGCCUUGGAAACUCAUGACUGGAGCAUAGGGAGAUUACUGAUGCCAUAAACAGGAGUGUCAAUUUGUAAAGUCAACAACAGAGUCACUGUGCACUUACUCCUCAUGUAAGAUCUCUGUCCUUAAUGUGCUGUACAUUGUGAUUUAAUGCUAUAAUGAGUACUCAAGCAGUAUUUGUCACUUUGUGUUUCUAUGUGGGUGCAAACUGUUGAAAUCUUUUCUUAAUGUAUACUAAACUGAUCUUCUGUAUAUAAAGAGAAA